rnacentral:rRNA from 1 species
GCGGAGGGAUCAUUAAAGAGUUCUAUAACUCCCAAACCCAUGUGAACAUACCUAACGUUGCCUCGGCAGGUCGCACCUACCUUGUAGCACCCUACCCUGUAGGGCCUACCCGGGAGAUGCGGGUAAGCCUGCCGGCGGCCCACCAAACUCUGUUUGAUAUUGAAUUCUGAACAUAUAACUAAAUAAGUUAAAACUUUCAACAACGGAUCUCUUGGUUCUGGCAUCGAUGAAGAACGCAGCGAAAUGCGAUAAGUAAUGUGAAUUGCAGAAUUCAGUGAAUCAUCGAAUCUUUGAACGCAUAUUGCGCCCAUUAGUAUUCUAGUGGGCAGGACCGUUCGAGCGUCAUUUCGACCCUUAAGCCUUAGUUGCUUAGUGUUGGGAGCCUACGGCAACGUAGCUCCUCAAAGUUAGUGGCGGAGUUGGUUCACACUCUAGACGUAGUAAUUUUUUAUCUCGCCUAUCAGUUGGACUGAUCCCCUGCCGUAAAACCCCCAACUUAUCAAGGUUGACCUCGAAUCGGUUCAGACAAACUCGCUAAAUUGAAGCAUCUUAGUCAGCGAAGGAAAAGAAACCAACAGGGAUUGCCCUAGUAACGGCGAGUGAAGCGGCAACAGCUCAA